UUUAAAUUGAGAGUUUGAUCCUGGCUCAGGAUGAACGCUGGCGGCGUGCCUAAUACAUGCAAGUCGAACGAAACUUCUUUAUCACCGAGUGCUUGCACUCACCGAUAAAGAGUUG
rnacentral:rRNA from 1 species